rnacentral:sRNA from 1 species
GGGGGCGUAAAGGUUUCGACGGAGAUUGUAAGCUUUAGUAAGCGAGUAGUGGUGCGGUACCAUUUAUAAACCGCAAUUUUUAGAAUUAACUGACAACAGACAACAGUUAUUAGCAGCUUAGUUUAGCUGUCGUUUUGGUUAGGGUACCACGACUUAAUCAAAGCGUCGAUUAGUGGUGAACGUAAUACAAAACCUGGCUUAGGUUUGUAUUAUGAAAUUAAAGCUACCAAAUAAAUUAGCCUGCUAAUAGGCGAGUUUAUAAGGGAAAUAUAAAAUAUUAGCUACACUCGUAGAAAACUUUAGUAAGUAAUUUUCGGACAGGGGUUCGAUUCCCCUCGCCUCCACCA